rnacentral:lncRNA from 1 species
GUUGUGAAACACACAAUCUGGAAUAUGGUAUAAUGAUAUGACUUAUGUUUCUUGUAUUAUACUGAUGUUGAUCAGCAUGUGUUUUUAGAUCUUGUAUAUUAUUAUGAACAGUUAACAAAGUUUCCAAUAUAUAUAUUGAAGGUAAAGGAAAAAUGCCAUACUUUUUAAACAAGGGUUUACAGCUGGCGCGAUAUUCCGCUGAGUCAAUAAUUCGGAUUGCUGCUUUUUGAAAAGUGAAAACUUUAUAUGCAUGUCCAGGGAUAAGAAUAUAAGAAGAUGUAAAAACAGCAAAGAAAAUAUUAGGUACAAUGGAAACCGAUAGAAAGACGAAACAAGCACGGCCCAGAACGAGAUGGUUGGAUGACGUGGAAGACGACCUGAAAACCAUGAAUAUGGUGGACAAUGGAGGUGAAAGGCACGAUAUAGAUCUGAAUGGAAAGACAUAACCAGGCAGGUAAAGAACCAUAUCCAGGGUUAUGAUGCCAAAAGAAGAAGUAGUUGCUUUAAAAAACAAGUUUCAUCAUUGGAGUCGAAAAUUCUAAAAAAAUUUAAAAAAUGUUUUGCAGUGUAUAGGUAUGUUUUUUAUGAUAGGUACCUAUUUAGUAUCAUCACAAAAAUUGCAAUGCAGGAUUUAGAACAACUUUGUUAUGUAAACAUAUAAAAUUUUAAAAAAAUAACCAUGACAAUGCAAUUACCAGCAAACAUUCGUAGAUGCAUUAUGUUUAAUAAUAGAAUGCAAUGUUUUAAAUAGCUUAUAUCAAAAAUAAUAUAUUUUUAUUUACAAACAUUUUAUCAUUGUAUGUAUAAAUAAUCAAAGGAUAUACAGAAUAUGGAAAAUAUAUCAAUGAAUAUCCUCUUCUUAUACCUAUUUGUUCAAUUCAAAGGUCUAUAUGCAGUCUCUUCGCGGUAUGACUAGUCUAUCCUAGGUUUGUCCAAAGCCUUUGGGCAAACCUCGAAAUAAAUACAAUUUUCGGCUUUUGAGUGAAGUGUUUUUAGUCAAACCUAGAAGUUCCUAACUUUUCAGUCAAGCGUUAAAAGUACAAUAAUCUGUUUCAGGCUUUACCUAGGCGAUCCUGGAAGCGACUGAUAGACUUGGUCAAACGUCGGCGUCGAUCUGUACUGUACUGUACCUACACUGCCAGAUUUCAAAAAAAGGUCAUUCAGAGAGAGGAACAGUUAUAAAACGCUAUAAAUUGAUGAUACUAGAAUCUUAUGGACAGUAUGCCCUGACAAAAACGCAACAGUGGCCUCCUCUGUUACCAGAUUUGUUUCUCCUGGAAUUUUUAAGUGGAACGCCUAAAAACUAAAAUUUAUAGAACAUCACCUGUAUCUUUUGAAGAUUUUCGUCAACGAAUGCCUACGAAUCACUCUGCAAAUGCAAGAAAGUUUCGAACCCUAGGCGUACUGUCCAAGGCACCUCUAGAAUUUCUCUAAGGUACUCACUCUGAGGGGGAAGGUCAGAAAACCAAUUCAUGUUUAAAACAAACAUUUUUAACAAGAAAUAAUGCGAUAAAACGAUUACCGUAAACUGUAAAAUAAUGUUCUUUUAUUAAUUACAAGAUAGUCAAUUAGUUAACAAUGUUUACCACUUUAUAUAAAUGAUCGAUCUUA